rnacentral:rRNA from 1 species
AUACUCAACAAUAAUGCAUACGGUGGAUGCCUUGGUCGAAAGUACCGAUGAAGGACGUAUUAGGCUGCGAUAAGCUUCGGGGAGCUGCCAAAAAGCUUUGAUCCGAAGAUUUCCGAAUAUGAUAACUGGUCCCGAUUUAUCGGGACAUCCCAACAUGAAUUCAUAGUGUUGGGAAGGGUACAGCCCGAACUGAAACAUCUAAGUAAGGCUAGGAAAAGAAAACAAUAGUUUAUUCCCCAAGUAGCGGCGAGCGAAAAGGGAGGAGCCUAAACCCGCCUCUCAAGCGUAAGCGAGAGGGCGGGGGUUGUGGGGUUUACGAUAUAGCAUCAGUCGAAGAUAGUUAAAGUCGUUGGAAAGCGACACCAAAGAAGGUGAUAGUCCUGUAAACGAAAUUUGAGACUGGCUUAGUAAAUACCCGAGUAGCGCAGGACACGUGUAACCCUGUGUGAAUCCGGCGGGACCAUCCGCUAAGGCUAAAUAUACUUUCGGACCGAUAGUGAACUAGUACCGCGAGGGAAAGGUGAAAAGAAGAGCGAAACGCUCAGUGAAAUAGUACCUGAAACCGUAUGUUGACAAGCAGAGAAAGUGGAGGUUUACUUCUACAAUCUCGUGCCUAUUGAAGAAUGAACCGGUGAGUUACCGUAUCCUUUUUGCUUAAGCCAUUCUGUGGCGAAAGCGUAGUGAAAGCGAGGGUUAAUAGCCCGUUUACAGGAUGCGAUAGACCCGAAACCGAGUGAGCUAUCCAUGUCCAGGGUGAACCCCGACUAACGUCGUGGGGGAGGCCCGAACCCGUUGUUGUAUCAAUAACUUGGGAUGAGAUGUGGUUAGAGGUGAUAUGCCUAACGAACUCGGAGAUAGCUGGUUCUCCUCGAAAUAUAUCUAGGUAUAGCCUGAAAUUUACCUGCAGGGGUAGAGCACUGGAUGGAUUCUGGUCGAGCAAUCGAUCAGGUUCAACCAAACUCCGAAUACUGCAGCAGUUAUUUCAGAGUCAGUCCGAUCCGGCUAAGCGGAGCGGGCCUAAGGGAAACAUCCCAGAUCAAUAGCUAAGGUCCCUAAAUGCAAGUUAAGUGUGAAAGGUAGUCUUUGUCCUUAGACAGCCAGGAAGUUGGCUUAGAAGCAGCCAUCUUUUAAAGAUAGCGUAACAGCUCGCUGGUCUACUAUGGGUGAGGGCGCCGACAAUUAAUCGGGGCUAAACUUGCUACCGAAGCUUUGGAUUUACCCCGCCUUUGGGCGGGGCAAGUGGUAGAGGAGCGUUCUAUGUGAAGUGAAUGGUCGCCGUGAGGCGACCUGGAUUGCAUAGAAGUGAGAAUGCCGGUAUGAGUAGCGUAUUGACGUGAGAAACGUCAUCGCCGAAUGCCCAAGGUUUUCCACGCAAUGUUAAUCAACGUGGAGUUAGUCGGUCCUAAGGUCAGGCCUAAAAGGCGUAGCCGAUGGACAACAGGUUAAAAUUCCUGUAUUGAGUUGUAUCUGACAAAUUCUCGAUUAGUCGCAAGACGACAUCGGAACCGUUAAGGGGGGACAAAGUAGGAAAACUCUUGCCCGGCAUUGCCGGGUAGAAGCAAUGAGCUAGUUGAGGCAGGUAAAUCCGCUUCAACAACCCCACAUCAAUCUGUUUACAGGUUGGUGUGGGAUCCAAGAUGCAAGUUGCGAUCUCGAGAGAAGAACUUUUUCUGUUUUCAAGAAAAUCCUCGUAAAGGAGAUACGAUUUAACCGUACCGUAAACCGACACAGGUGGGCGAGUUGAGUAUACAAAGGCGAUCGGGAGAACUAUCCUUAAGGAACUCGGCAACGAAAGCUGGACGUAACCUUUGGGAGAUGUCCUGGGGUGUACCAUACGGUACGCCCUUACAACAAAAGACGCUAAGCGACUGUUUAACAAAAACACAGGUCCCUGCUAAAUCGAAAGAUGAUGUAUAGGGGCUGACACCUGCCCAGUGCCAGUAAUUUACUGUCUCAAGUGACCCAUGUACCAUUACGGUGCAUGGUGAGCCUGGGGCCUAAGAUCUGGUGAACGGCAGCAGUAACUAUAACUGUUCUAUGGUUUUGGGAAUUUCAAAGCCUUAGAUGGUGGUGUGUUUUUAGAAUUCGACUAUAUGCUGGAAACUCUGGUGUAUCUUGAGCUAGUUGACAUUUGGGUUUAUUUCGGAUAAUAAUGAAAUAAUGCCUAAAUUUCCAACUAAUAAAGCUACAAGUGCAGACAAUCAGCAGGAAAGACUUAGGAUCUCAAGUUGGAUAGUUGGUUUUGUGGAUGGAGAAGGAUGCUUUUCGGUUUCUAUUUUCAAGAAUAGGACAACAAGAAGCGGAUUUCAGGUAAUGCCUGAAUUUGUGGUUACACAAGGUCAAAAAAGUUUAGAUAGUUUGCAAAUUAUCAAAGACUUUUUUGAAUGUGGAGCAAUCUAUGUAAAUAGACGCUAUGAUAACCAUAAAGAGAAUAUCUACCGUUAUUGUGUUCGUUCGACAAAAGAUUUGAACGAAAAGAUUAUUCCUUUUUUCAAAGCAAACAAACUACUAACUUAUAAGAAAAAUGAUUUUGAAACUUUCUGUAAAGCAAUGGAGAUGAAAUUAUUAAAUCUUCACUUAACAGCAGACGGUUUACAAAGUUUUAGAGAUCUUAAGAAUCCUCAGAGACUAAUACGUCGAACUCCGCCAUUGGCGGGGAAGAUAGAGUCCGAACUGCAUAGCGAUAUGCAGAUGUGACGAUUAGAUUGUCACAGCAACAUAAUUGAGCGAAGUUCCUUGUCUGGUUGGUUUGCGGGUCACGCAAAACUUGCCAGAACUCCGAUUAAAAUCGGAGGCACUUAGGAACGGAAAGUUAAACAGAAAGUCGAAAAUUAAGUGUAAAAUCUGACUAAAUGCUGGAAUAACUCUGAAUCUGACAGUAGUCCAAUGGACUAAUAAUCUGAUCAGUGGAGUCAAUCAGCAGGGAAGACUCGCCUUAGGCGAGAACCCUCAGAGACUAUACGUCAGAUGAUGUGCCAAAUGGUACGUCAAAGAGAUAGUCCGAACUCUUAAGCGAUUAAGAGGAUUCGAAAAUCAUUGAAUCAUAAAACAAAAUGUAAUCGAGAUUGCCACGGUCGCCUUAGGCGACCUCGCAAUGACGAUUGAACUUGGAGUUCAGACCCGCACGAAAGGUUGAACGACUUAGCGACUGUCUUGAGGAUAGACCCGGCGAAAUUGCAAUGGCUGUGAAGAUGCGGCCUUCCCAUACUUGGACAAAAAGACCCCGUGGAGCUUUACUGUAGCUUGACCCUGAUUUAAAUUUAAAAUUGUGUAGCGUAGGAGGGAGCUUCGGCAACAAUGAAACACCUCUCUUUUUUGAAUUUAGGUCUCACAUUAUCCCUUAUAAAAACAGGGAAUUGGACAAGGUCUGGCGGGCAGUUUAACUGGGGCGGUUCCCUCCAAAAGAGUAACGGAGGGGCACAAAGGUACACUUAAGCCGUAAGGAAAUCGGCCAUCAAGCGUAAAGGUAUACAGUGUGCUUAAUAGCAAGACUUACAAGUCAAGCUAAUACGAAAGUAGGUCUUAAUGAUCCCCUGGUGGCUCAUGGGAGCGCCAGGGCUUAUCGGAUAAAAGUUACCCCGGGGAUACAAGUGUGUCCCGAUUUCAUGGUAACAUGGAAUCGUGUAAAUAUGGCUAAUAACGGUGAAACCCUGAAAUUUUGAGGUUAAAGUCUUACCUCACAUCGAGAUAUUUUAGGGUAAUACCGUGGGAAGUCAAAGGUAUGGACAAGAUACAAAAAGCAGUAGCAGUAGGAGCUAUUUUAGGAGACGGUUUUUUGCAGAAAACCGGUAAAAAUAACGCCCGCUUAAGACUAGAACAUAGUUUAAAACAGCAGGAUUAUUUAAUCUGGAAGUGUAAAAUUUUAAGUAAUUUCUUUCAGAAAAAACCGGAAAUUCUAACAAGAAACAAUCUGAAAUUUGGUAAAAGUUACCAAUAUAUCAGGAAUCAAUCCUAUUCCGGCUCGGAGUUCGGUAAACUUCAUCAACUUUUUUAUGUUGAUGGUAAGAAAGUUAUUCCGGAUAAAAUCUCCAAACUAUUAAAAGAGUCAGUGAGUUUAGCUGUGUGGUUUAUGGAUGACGGUUAUUACUAUCCAAGGGAUAAAAUAGCUUAUAUCUAUCUACCCAAGUUAGAUUCAAACUCAAUAAAAAAUUUGCUAAUUGCUUUAAAGAUAAAUUAUGGUUUAUCUCCUCGGUUAAAAAUUAAAAAAAGAGGAGAAUAUGUUUUAAUUUUUACGGUUAAAGAAACUUUAAAAUUAAUUCAUAUUAUUAAGCCAUAUAUUAUAAAAUCUAUGUCCUACAAAUUACCUUUUGACCCCGUAUCGACUGAUCCUAGUAGCAAACAAUAGUUCCGCUAUUGUUGGGAGAGAUCGUGUACCAUUUUUGGUACGUGAUAAUAUGCCGUACCCCUGCAGUGAGAGCGAAGCGCUCUACUACAGGGUGAUGAUAUAGUCAGCGCCCCGAGUAAUCGGGGAUUAUCGUGAACAGGCUAGUCUUGCCCUACAGUCCACAAGGACGGCAAGGUUCGGCACCUCGAUGUCGGCUCAUCGCAUCCUCCUGCUGAAGUAGGUGGGAAGGGUCUGGCUGUUCGCCAGUUAAAGCGGUACGCGAGCUGGGUUCAGAGCGUCGUAAGACAGCUCGGACUCUAUCCAGUAUGGGCGUUUUGAUUCUUGAGGGGAGUUGUCUCUAGUACGAGAGGACCGAGACGAGGCAACCUCUAGUGUGCCUGUUGUCACUACAGUGGCAGCGCAGGGUAGCUACGUUGUUUUUUGAUAAGUGCUGAAAGCAUCUAAGCACGAAGCAGACCCCAAGAUGAGGAAUCUUUAAGAUCCCUGGUAGACUACCAGGUUGAUUACGCUAACGCGUAGUCGUCCGCUAACGCGGAGAUAGGAGAGCAGUGUAAGCACUGUAAGGUGUUUAGCUUACUCUUACUAAUGAUCAUCGUUGAGAUUUU